rnacentral:rRNA from 1 species
GUGGGGAAUAUUGCACAAUGGGCGCAAGCCUGAUGCAGCCAUGCCGCGUGUGUGAAGAAGGCCUUCGGGUUGUAAAGCACUUUCAGCGAGGNGGAAGGGUUCAGUGUUAAUAGCACUGUUCAUUGACGUUACUCGCAGAAGAAGCACCGGCUAACUCCGUGCCAGCAGCCGCGGUAAUACGGAGGGUGCAAGCGUUAAUCGGAAUUACUGGGCGUAAAGCGCACGCAGGCGGUUUGUUAAGUCAGAUGUGAAAUCCCCGCGCUUAACGUGGGAACUGCAUUUGAAACUGGCAAGCUAGAGUCUUGUAGAG